rnacentral:rRNA from 1 species
CACGGGUGAGUAACACGUAUCCAACCUGCCGUCUACUCUUGGACAGCCUUCUGAAGGAAGAUUAAUACAAGAUGGCAUCAUGAGUUCACAUGUUCACAUGAUUAAAGGUAUUCCGGUAGACGAUGGGGAUGCGUUCCAUUAGAUAGUAGGCGGGGUAACGGCCCACCUAGUCUUCGAUGGAUAGGGGUUCUGAGAGGAAGGUCCCCCACAUUGGAACUGAGACACGGUCCAA